AAGGGGAGAAGAGAAGUUUGAUUUGGGACAAUAAGGAAAGGGGAGGCUAAAGCAGGCUGCCCAAGAGCUGGCCUUCAGCUCGAGACUGGUGAUGUGGACCCACCAUCUCCAUGUGACGCGAGCAGAGGACACUUAAGACGCCACAUCCCCAUGAUGGGCACUUACUCCUGGGGCUGCGGAAUGCCAGGGUUCACUAAAGACUGCCAGGCCCACCCGACCCGAGAUGAGACUCACCCUCUAUCCAAGGCAAUAGGCCACGGUGAGAAAUCCCAGAGGGUUUUCUGGCCCUGAGAAGAUGCUUCUUGUUGGGGACGAGUGAGUGGAGCUUGAAAAGUGACUCCGCUUGCCAAGCGCAUAAUAAUAAUAACACAAGCAGUUGCAUUUUCUGUUCGGUUUCUAAAAUUCAAGAGUCCACAGAGCGCCAUUGGGAUACCUGGUGUCACCCCCACCCGAUGCCCAGAAGUGGUCUUUUCUGCCAAGCCCUUUCCGAAAAUGACCCCAGCCCCAGGGUCAGCUCCAAGCCCUGACAAGCUGUUUUUGCUGCUUUCAUGUUGACAGAACGUCCUGGCCACUCGGCUGAGCGCUCCAUCUCCCAGCUCCCGACACACUGAGUCAUCAUCCAAAGAGGAAAAAAACAACAAAGCAGUCGUCACCAGGGUCCCCACUGCCGUCGGCUGACGACUCAUGGGCUGUCGUCACUCUCUGCUCUGCAGCCCCGGAAUUGGUGACGAGGGGCUUCAGGGUGCCCAACUCCCCUCCCACGGGAUGCAACGGCGUCAGGAAGCCGGCAGCCACCGCUGCCAUUCAGAAAGAAGGGAAACCAACCUGGCAGCACCAGUCUCCCAGGAAGGACCACUGGUUAACCCUCACUCUGCCACCACCUGCCCUGUCCUCAUGGCUCUGCUCCCACGGCGCUGCCCUGACGCAGACGUUAGAGGGGUCUUUACUCCAGGUGGGGGAAAGGCACCACGUCGUCAGCUUCAGGAGAAUACGAUGGCCCGCACCCUGACACCACCAUCCUAUUAACUCUUUCUGCCACAGAUGCGUCCAGAACGACGACCAUUGCUGACUUGCGUUGUUUUCUGCUUUUUUGGCCACGCACCAGGACCUUUUUCUCCCUGGCAUUUCCUAAGGACCAAAAGUGUGAUUCAAACGUUGCCUGCUUACCCCACGAACGCUAUCCUUUUAUCGGGGCAGGAGCUGGAGAAACCUCAUUGAACGGCAGCCUGAAGAAUCCAGAAUAAAACCAGUCUGGAUCCUGAUACUUGCCGGGCU
rnacentral:lncRNA from 1 species